CUCCUCCCCUUGGAAUUCCCGAGCCCGGAUGCCAGCUUCCUUGGAAAUUCCAGGGUUAAUGCACCCCUCCCCUGGAAAUUCCAAGGUUAAUGUAACCACUCCUGACUCUCCCCUGGAAAUUUGAAAGUUAAUGGACCUAUCCCCUGAAAAUUCCAAGGUUCCUCACUUCCUCAACAGGGAGGUGCAGAUAAAAAUUGGAAUAGCUCAAUUUAAUGUUUAUUCUGGUUGUUGUGCAGGUACAUUUUAAUGUUUAUCUUCAAAAUCAUCAAAUCUGCAAGUUCAUUGCCUGGUCUUUUAAAGUAUAUUGGCAGUCCAUAGUAUUAAAUACAGUCCUGGUGGGCAAUAUGCUCUCAUGAACCAAACCAUUCAUUGAUUUCAUUCCAAUUAAUUUGUUUUGAAAAUUGAAACGUUUGUCCAAUAUUCCAACAGACCACUUCCGAAUGAGGCUCCAUGCGAAAUUGUAAUGUUUUGUAUUGAUUUAGCACUGAGUCUGGACCUGGUGUUGCUGCAAAUCGUAACUACGGUGUUGAAACUACUGAUCGUAUAAAUAAAACAUGGCAGUGGA